GGAGGCAGCAGUAGGGAAUCUUCCGCAAUGGACGAAAGUCUGACGGAGCAACGCCGCGUGAGUGAUGAAGGCUUUCGGGUCGUAAAACUCUGUUGUUAGGGAAGAACAAGUGCUAGUUGAAUAAGCUGGCACCUUGACGGUACCUAACCAGAAAGCCACGGCUAACUACGUGCCAGCAGCCGCGGUAAU
rnacentral:rRNA from 1 species